CGCGCGCACACCAGCACUGCUGCAGGAAGCUCAGGAGGCGCGCAGAGAGGAGCCCAGGGACGUGGCACCCGUGCGAGAGGGACGAGGUGGCAACCCAGCGGUGAGGACUCGGGAAAAGGAGCCAGAAGUAGAAGAAUUCCGAUGACUGAAUAUAAAUAAACCGCCAUCUCCUGUGUCAGUGUGUUGCAGAUCUGAUCUGAAUAUGAAGCAGGAGACGUAUAAAUUCUACUUUACAGCUGUAAUAGACGGCGAGGACGCAGAGCGUUACGCAACCUUUUAAUUCCACCGAAAGACCAUGAAAUCAACAAAUCGGAGGAUUCCGAAAACUAUGCGUCCCCAUGUUUAUCUGUGAUCCGGUAUUGUGCCGCAAAGCAGAUGGUUUUCUUUAAGUCUGACAGCGUGAUUCUCGUUCUUCGUAAAUCUGUGUGAAAUUGGAAAAAAAAGAAGAUUUUUCUGUUACUUUAGGAAAGUGGUUUAUUUGCUUGUCUGGCUCUGGAUGUCACGGAGAAUGCCCAAUAAAAAAAAAAAGCAAAAAAAAUUAAAUAAAUAAAUGAAUAAAAUAAAAAAUUCUCUCCCGCUGCCAAACACAUUCUCUUGUCACGGGAUUUUGUCCAGAAGAUGAUGUGCGAGGAAUCAGAAAGUGGCUAAAGGAAUUCAGCCGAGAGACUUGUUCUGCCGCGAGUAUUACCCUUGUUGAGGAUUUAAGUGAACAUGAAGUUAUUCAAAUGGAUCUCUGGAUCCUUUACAGGGGAUGUGGCAUCGGCAAUGUGCAGCGGGAUGUGAAGCAGAGCGAUAAUCUGGAGUCCUGGAGGAACAAAGCGACUCUCCGCUGCCAUUCGUGUCAUAUAUCCAGCCAUUGUAUUCUAAAAAUAUGUACAUGCUACACAGAGGGCAACCGUGCAUGUGGAAGUGGAUACAGAAAAACAAAUAAUAGGGGGUUUACUCAAAACAUUGUUACGAAUAGAGUCGAGCCAGCUGAGCGCCCGCCCCCCUGAACCCAGAUUCGAUCCAAGUUUCAGGGGGUUCGCAGCAGAGGGAUCCAUCCAUUUUUCUGCAUAGACGUCUAUGCAGCAAAAUGACAGAUCUUUCUGUUGGCCGGGGAGUGUAGAGCAGUACCGCCUGCUUCUCCGGCGCAAAACUCACAAUUGCAGCGGGUCUCAGAAGUGAGCCUCAAUGCGGUCAACAACUUUUGACACAACUGAUUGAGAUGUCAAAAGUAUAGAUAGCUGGUUUGCUUUUAAA